rnacentral:ncRNA from 1 species
CUGUUUAUGCGAAGGAGAGAUAGUUGGCAACCCCUCGGACAGAGACGGGAUUGACCCCACUGGGUCAUUUAUCUUCGUUGUGGCCUCCACCUUUGUGUGGAAAACAACUGAAUUUUU